AGCUAAGGUCCCAAAAUAUAUGUUAAGUGGAAAAGGAUGUGGGGUUGCACAGACAACUAGGAUGUUAGCUUAGAAGCAGCUAUUCAUUCAAAGAGUGCGUAAUAGCUCACUAGUCGAGUGACCCUGCGCCGAAAAUGUACCGGGGCUAAAACAUAUUACCGAAGCUGUGGAUGACACAAAAGUGUCAUGGUAGGAGAGCGUUCUAUGUGUGAAGAAGGUGUACCGUGAGGAGCGCUGGAACGCAUAGAAGUGAGAAUGCCGGUAUGAGUAGCGCAAGACAGGUGAGAAUCCUGUCCACCGUAAGACUAAGGUUUCCAGGGGAAGGCUCGUCCGCCCUGGGUUAGUCGGGACCUAAGGAGAGACCGAAAGGUGUAUCCGAUGGACAACAGGUUGAUAUUCCUGUACUAGAGUAUAUAGUGAUGGAGGGACGCAGUAGGCUAACUAAACCAGACGAUUGGAAGUGUCUGGU
rnacentral:rRNA from 1 species